GCCCACAAGUGUUGUAGUUCUCACGAGAGAGAAAGUACUUUAUUUUACCAAAUGAAAGCACUCAAGUUUUUUUUGUUUUUUUUUAACUUAAGUAUUUAUAGAUUUUUUUAAAAAGGGGGCUUUUAUAAACUUCAGGGUCACAGGAGUAGACGUUACUUUGAAAGAAACGAAGAGAAUAACAUUCAUAAGAUAUUUUUAACUAUAGAUAAAAUCCUACCACAAAAUUCGAGGCACAGAAUCCAAAAAGGUCCCAUGAAGAGAUCGGAUCUUCCAUAUCUACUGAGCAUGAAGUUUAAUGCUGAACUCGGAAUGUUUCUUAUAGACUGGUGUUUUUAUCCAGAGCGACAUUCAAGCGAGGCAGUUGUCUGCAGCUGUCCUGCCCAAAAGACACUUCGGCACGCGUACAGGAAGAGCCAGGGGAUCAAACCGCCAACCCUGCAAUCAGUGGUCAAGCCACUCCGUCACCUGAGCCGAAGCCACCCUUUUAUGACUUGUGGUGUUUGUAUCAAAGACGACAUUGUGGUUAAAGCAGAAAUUGUCUGAAAAGCAGAAAUUGAAGCAGGAUUGUCUGAACUGUUUUCAUUAUUAGCUGUGGAGUCCGCCAUUUCCGCAGGGGAUUCAGACUGCCUACCUUCACAUGAGGGAUUCACAGGGGGGGCGUCCCGGGUGAUGUGCCGCAGGCGACGGGCUGCACACCUCCAACCGACACCUUUCACUGUGUCCUGCUGUCGUGUGGAAAUUAACUCACGAUGUGUGCAUCGGAUCGUGGUCGCAGGUAUUUUUGACCGUAUUUUUUUU